UGAGAAAUACUUCUAUUUUCCCAUUCUUGC
rnacentral:piRNA from 1 species